UUGUAGCCCUCUCCUGAAAAUAUCAGAUUAAAAAAAAUCGGAGAGGGCUACAUUAUUGCAGGUAAUUGAAACCAAGAUCAACAAAGUUCUAGACAUUCAACAAGUGCAGACUUGUUUUUGUUCACCUUUAUUUUCUGGAACAGCUACAUGUAUAUCUUAAUCAGAGUAAUGAAGUUCCCAAUAGUUCAUGAUGUGAGCAUGAAGGAUUAAAAAGAAGUGUUAGAUUUCUGAAGGAUGAGGGGUUGCAGUUAGACACCCUCAUUACAGACAGACACAGACAGAAUAACAAGUGGAUAAAGGAAAACCUUGAUGGAACAAACCACUUCUAUGACAUCUGGCAUGUUGCCAAGGGCACAUGGAAAAAAACUGGAUGCUUUGGCAAAGGUCAAGGAUUGUAAUGUUGGUAAAUGGAAGCAGUCCAUCACCAAUAAUAUGUAUUGGUCAGCAGGUUCUACACCAGAUAACGAUGGGGAUAUGAUUGUUGCCAAGUGGGAGUCGGUUAUCCAGCAUGUGCAAAACAUCCACACCAACCACCCAAAUGCUCUUUUCCAAAGUAAUGUCUUCAUGAUCCCCUGGAAGAAGAUGAUGAGCAGGAGAUAGAGUGGCUUAAUCCAACAAGCAAAGCCUUUGAACAAUUGGAAAAGAUUCUCUUAAACAAGACCCUCUUAAAAGACAUUUCAAGACUUUCCAGUCAGGAGUAGACAUCUUCCUUGGAGGCUUUUCAUAGCUUGAUACUCCAUUUUGCUCCCAAGAAUACAGCCUUUUCUUAUCUUGGAAUGUUAUGUCGACUCUACUUGGCUGGACUCCAUUAUGAUGAGAACUCUGAUCAUGACCAAAUGUUCAACAGACAAGGUGAAGCUUCCUUCACCAUCAGAUACCCAAAAGGAAGGAAAGGACAAGCUGUUGUACAUCCUGACAAAACUAAGCCUACUUAUGAUUACGCCAUGCAUCUCCAACAAGAAUUGGUUGAUCAAUAUAUGCAAGGGCCAAGCCAACUACCAGAUUCCAUCAGUAAUCUACGUGCUAGGGUACCCAACUGUCUGUCAGCAAAUGCAGAUCAACCGGACAAGGCAGAG